GAUGAACGCUGGCGGCGUGCUUAACACAUGCAAGUCGAACGGAAAGGCUCCUGCUUGCAGGGGUACUCGGGUGGCGAACGGGUGAGUAACACGUGGGUGAUCUGCCCUGCACUUCGGGAUAAGCCUGGGAAACUGGGUCUAAUACCGGAUAGGACGAUGGUUUGGAUGCCAUUGUGGAAAGUUUUUUCGGUGUGGGAUGAGCUCGCGGCCUAUCAGCUUGUUGGUGGGGUAAUGGCCUACCAAGGCGUCGACGGGUAGCCGGCCUGAGAGGGUGUACGGCCACAUUGGGACUGAGAUACGGCCCAGACUCCUACGGGAGGCAGCAGUGGGGAAUAUUGCACAAUGGGCGCAAGCCUGAUGCAGCGACGCCGCGUGGGGGAUGACGGCCUUCGGGUUGUAAACUCCUUUCGCUAGGGACGAAGCGCAAGUGACGGUACCUGGAGAAGAAGCACCGGCUAACUACGCG
rnacentral:rRNA from 1 species